rnacentral:rRNA from 1 species
AUUGAACGCUGGCGGCAUGCCUUACACAUGCAAGUCGAACGGUAACGGGCCUUCGGGUGCCGACGAGUGGCGAACGGGUGAGUAAUACAUCGGAACGUGCCCGAUCGUGGGGGAUAACGAGGCGAAAGCUUUGCUAAUACCGCAUACGAUCUACGGAUGAAAGCAGGGGACCGCAAGGCCUUGCGCGGACGGAGCGGCCGAUGGCAGAUUAGGUAGUUGGUGGGAUAAAAGCUUACCAAGCCGACGAUCUGUAGCUGGUCUGAGAGGAUGAUCAGCCACACUGGGACUGAGACACGGCCCAGACUCCUACGGGAGGCAGCAGUGGGGAAUUUUGGACAAUGGGCGCAAGCCUGAUCCAGCCAUGCCGCGUGCAGGAUGAAGGCCUUCGGGUUGUAAACUGCUUUUGUACGGAACGAAAAGCCUUAUUUUAAUACAGGAGGGUCAUGACGGUACCGUAAGAAUAAGCACCGGCUAACUACGUG